UAGGGAAUAUUGGAAAUGGACGAAAGUCUGAUCUAGCAACACCGCGUGUGCGAAGAAGGCCUUCGGGUUGUAAAGCACUUUUUGGAAGGAUUAGGAAGCAAUGUACUUCCAGAAUAAGUCUCGGCUAACUACGUGCCAGCAGCCGCGGUAACACGUAGGAGGCAAACGUUAUCCGGAUUUACUGGGCGUAAAGCGCGUGUAGGUGGUUCUGUAAGUAGGGCGUGAAAGCUCCCGGCUCAACUGGGAGAGGCCGUUCUAAACUGCAGAACUAGAGGAUGGUAGAGGGAGGUGGAAUUUCAGGUGUAGCGGUGGAAUGCGCAGAUAUCUGAAGGAACACCAGUGGCGAAAGCGGCCUCCUGGACCAUUCCUGACACUCAGACGCGAAAGCUAGGGUAGCAACCG
rnacentral:rRNA from 1 species